rnacentral:sRNA from 1 species
AAAAAAAGAAGCAAGCUUAAAAGCGUCGCAUCUUGCGACAACAGCUGACUGACCUACAUCUUGUGAG